rnacentral:lncRNA from 1 species
GAUUCUAGUUGAUUGUCUUGUUGAUUUGGAAAGUUUGAAAUCUUACUUGAAUUUUGAAACUAUUUUACAUUCAUGCUUUGAUUCUUUGAUGAUUAUGAAGGUUUGAUUUUGAACUUGCAAUACAUUGAAUCAUGCAAACUUGAAAUGAUUGAGAUCCAAAGUUUUUGACUGAUCAUAAAUCUUGAUUGAAUCAUGCACAAAUGAGGUUUGAACCAUUUUGAGAGUUUAUUUUGGACUUUUGUUUGAGGACAAACAAAGUUCUAAGUUGGGGAGAGUUGAUAAGUGCUAAAUUUCAGUUAUUUUACUUAUACAUUUUAAGCACUUAUUGACUUAUUUUAUAAGUCAUUUGAUGUAAAACCUCCAACUAUUUGUAAAUAUUAGUCUUUACUAGCAAAUUAGUAUUUUAGCUAUUUUCACUUAUUAACUUAAAUAUAUUGAUAUAUCUCCUGAUGUAUAAUAGAUACUAUAUUUUAUUAUAUUAGUUAUAUUUAUAUAACAGGUUUUAAAAAGAAAAAGAAAGAAGACACAAGUGGCUUAGCUAGAGACNNNNNNNNNNNNNNNNNNNNNNNNNNACCAAGAGCAAGAGGCGGUUAACUAAGUCAAGUGGCACAAAUUCUUAAUGACAAAGAAAGUAAGAAAAGAAAAUGGGUAACAACAUAGCAGUCAAGUGGCAGCAUAGCAGUCAAGUGGCACCACUUUAUGAACCUUAUGUUUCUUAAACCAAGUGACAAGGCACGGUACUAUACUUAAGUGUGAAGUUUUGAAAGCUUAUAAAAGGGCAACACAUCGGCCAUUCGCAAUUCAUUCACUCUUACAAAAAACAACACACGCAAAGCACUUCAAAGAAACAGGGGAAAGAAAGAAGCAGAGAGAAAGAGCAGAACUACAAAGGAGGAAACGAAGGUGGGAUGCACAUCAGUUGUUCGAGAAAUCGACAUCGGUGCCGUUAUUUCAUCUCUUUUCUUCUCAGUUGUGUAAAGCUACCAUGAUAAUGAGUAGUUAAAGACACUUUUGUUGAGAUUAGAUGUAAUUAACUCUAUUAGUAUGUAUUUCUUUUCAUCAUGGUGUUAUAGAUGAUUUUAGAUUAUCCAUCUAUAUUGGUAUUAUCCUUGAUUUUAAUGUUUUAAACUUAGGGUUUGAAAUGUUAUAGACAUAUACUUUUUGAACCUAAGAACUAGGAUAGUAUCUAUUAAAUUCUAAAUUCUAGACAUAGAUUUAGGUUUCAUAUUCACUUAGAGUAUCGAAUCUUAAUGCUAUUGUAUUGAUUGACGAUCCGAGACAUCGGAGGUUAAUAGGUACAAUAGAUAUCUCGGCGUUAUCUGGACACGGAAACGUACGACGAGCGAUACGUGAUAAUAUUGAUAGAUAGAUAAAAUCUAUAUAACUGAUUAGGGAAAUACAAAUGAAUGAGUUAAUAAUGUCUAAUCUCAGC